UACAGAGGUCUCAAGCGUUGUUCGGAUUCAUUGGGCGUAAAGGGUGCGUAGGCGGCGCGGUAAGUCGGGUGUGAAAUCUUGGAGCUUAACUCCGAAACUGCAUUCGAUACUGCCGUGCUUGGGUUCUGGAGAGGAAGGCGGAAUUCUCGGUGUAGAGGUGAAAUUCGUAGAUAUCGAGAGGAACACCGGUGGCGAAGGCGGCCUUCUGGACAGUGACUGACGCUGAGACGCGAAAGCGUGGGGAGCAAACAGG
rnacentral:rRNA from 1 species